rnacentral:rRNA from 1 species
AGAGUUUGAUCCUGGCUCAGAUUGAACGCUGGCGGCAUGCCUUACACAUGCAAGUCGAACGGUAACAGGUCUUCGGAUGCUGACGAGUGGCGAACGGGUGAGUAAUACAUCGGAACGUGCCCGAUCGUGGGGGAUAACGCAGCGAAAGCUGUGCUAAUACCGCAUACGAUCUACGGAUGAAAGCGGGGGACUCGCAAGGGCCUCGCGCGGACGGAGCGGCCGGUGGCAGAUUAGGUAGUUGGUGGGGUAAAGGCUCACCAAGCCAACGAUCUGUAGCUGGUCUGAGAGGACGACCAGCCACACUGGAACUGAGACACGGUCCAGACUCCUACGGGAGGCAGCAGUGGGGAAUUUUGGACAAUGGGCGCAAGCCUGAUCCAGCCAUUCCGCGUGCAGGAUGAAGGCCUUCGGGUUGUAAACUGCUUUUGUACGGAACGAAAAAGUCCUGGUUAAUACCUGGGGCUCAUGACGGUACCGUAAGAAUAAGCACCGGCUAACUACGUGCCAGCAGCCGCGGUAA